rnacentral:tRNA from 1 species
CAGAAUAUAGUUUAAUUAAUAAUAUUAAUUUUGGAGAUUAGAGAUAUAAAUUUAUUUAUUAUUCUGA